rnacentral:rRNA from 1 species
GACCUUGAAAUACCACCCUUUAAUGUUUGAUGUUCUAACGUUGACCCGUAAUCCGGGUUGCGGACAGUGUCUGGUGGGUAGUUUGACUGGGGCGGUCUCCUCCUAAAGAGUAACGGAGGAGCACGAAGGUUGGCUAAUCCUGGUCGGACAUCAGGAGGUUAGUGCAAUGGCAUAAGCCAGCUUGACUGCGAGCGUGACGGCGCGAGCAGGUGCGAAAGCAGGUCAUAGUGAUCCGGUGGUUCUGAAUGGAAGGGCCAUCGCUCAACGGAUAAAAGGUACUCCGGGGAUAACAGGCUGAUACCGCCCAAGAGUUCAUAUCGACGGCGGUGUUUGGCACCUCGAUGUCGGCUCAUCACAUCCUGGGGCUGAAGUAGGUCCCAAGGGUAUGGCUGUUCGCCAUUUAAAGUGGUACGCGAGCUGGGUUUAGAACGUCGUGAGACAGUUCGGUCCCUA